CUACUUUCCAUGUUUCCCUGUUAAAACCCGCUGGUGGUCCGAGACGGGAGCGAGAGGAGGCAGCCACGUCAUCAGGUUCACCUCCCCUGCUGGUCGGCGGCGAGGAAGCAUACCAGGGAACAUCAGGGUUAGAACUGAUGUCGUAAGACCUGAAAUACCCAAUGACACUGCAGAGAUGCAAUUAAUAAGACUUCAGAAGAAUCAUCUUUCAGAGUGAUUAUUAUAUAUUGUUGAGGUUGCAAUACUGACAGCACCAUUCUGUUAUUCUUCUCUUGAUCAUCUGUGAAAGGAGAUCUGAUAUCAGAAGAUGAACUCACAUCUGCCUGAAGACAUGAAUAAAAAAUGUGUAAAAAUAAUGUCAAAUAUAAGGGAAAGGAAAUAUUAUGUGUUAUGUUGUUUUCACCAGGUUAAUGUCUUAAGGCUUACAUUAGAA